CAGCACCUCAAGUGGUCAGGAUGAUUAUUGGGCCUAAAGCAUCCGUAGCCGGCGCUGUAAGUUUUCGGUUAAAUCUGUAUGCUCAACAUACAGGCUGCCGGGAAUACUGCAGAGCUAGGGAGUGGGAGAGGUAGACGGUACUCGGUAGGAAGGGGUAAAAUCCUUUGAUCUAUUGAUGACCACCUGUGGCGAAGGCGGUCUACCAGAACACGUCUGACGGUGAGGGACGAAACCCUGGGGCGCGAACCGGAUUAGAUACCCGAGUAGUCC
rnacentral:rRNA from 1 species